rnacentral:rRNA from 1 species
UACGUAGGGUGCGAGCGUUGUCCGGAAUUAUUGGGCGUAAAGAGCUCGUAGGCGGCUUGUCGCGUCGGAUGUGAAAGCCCGGGGCUUAACUCCGGGUCUGCAUUCGAUACGGGCAGGCUAGAGUGUGGUAGGGGAGAUCGGAAUUUCUGGUGUAGCGGUGAAAUGCGCAGAUAUCAGGAGGAACACCGGUGGCGAAGGCGGAUCUCUGGGCCAUUACUGACGCUGAGGAGCGAAAGCGUGGGGAGCGAACAGG